rnacentral:lncRNA from 1 species
GAAGUUUUAGAGAGAGAGAGAAGAGAGAUACGGUGGAAGGACCAUCUUUUCUGGUGGUGAACCCGGCUGCGCACGAUAGCGCCUCUCACUUCCGACGCAUAAACGACUGCCAUGGUGGUGGUGAGUUGUGGAGCUGUACUUCGGAAACAAACCCGGGCCGGUCAAUGAACCCGGUUCAAGGCGUUUGUGGUGGUGGAUGAUGGUAACAGGCACGUGGGUUUGGGGGUGAAGUGUUCGAAGGAGGUUGCGAUUGCUAUUAGGGGUGCGAUUAUUCUAGCGUGUAUUCCGGUAAACUAUGACGAGUCUCCGGCGAAGAUCCGUGUAAAGAAUUUUGACAGUUGAUAUCUAUUGAAACCAACAGUUCAAAGAGGCAAGGUAUGAAGAUUUGACUCAAGUUAUUGGUUUUUGAGCUGAGUGGGGGUUGCUACAAUUUAGUAAGGUUAUCUUAGAUCAUGUGCAAACAAAAUGUAAACAAAUAGUUAUACAAGGGUACACUGAUCCACAUGUCAUAUCCGACCCAAUUGAAGCAAUAAGUCAUGCUACAAAGCUUUUGCGGCUUCAGCUGAACAACCGGGAACACAUACAACCGUGGUUAACACAAUUAGUUGUAAACCAAAUCUUCGAUGCGACCAUCUCUCGCAUGACACAUCCAUACCUACUGCUGCUCUUUUCCAACUAGAUCAUUGUGCUUAUUAAGCAGAUCUUUUUAACCGUUUCUCCAUUUUCAUGCAGCAAAUCAAAACACGUGACAAGGCCCACUUCUUUUUAUCUUCAAGACUUCAAUUAUGUACAGGUAAUGUUAACCAGUUUAAUUUUGGGUCAAUUUAUUACAUAUCAUGAACAUGGUUAGGGGUUUUAAUAACAACUACAAAGCAAACAACAUUAGACUUUUAAGCAUAUAAGCACUUAUAUAAGUAAUCACAAUUGAUGUCUACAUUUGUUUGCUCUUAUUGUAGAUGUCCCAGGAAUCAAGUCGAGACGGGCUCAAGCACGAGGUGUUAACGGGCCAAGAGGAAGCAAGGGAUCGGAUAUGAACACGGAUGCAUGAGGAACGAGUACAUCGGAUUCUUACGAAAUUUAAGCCCAACCCGGAAUAAGAGGAUGAGUGAUACACGGACUUCUUCUGCUACUUAGGAAGUGAAGCGGACGUAGAUCGAGUCAAGAGCAAGGAUUGCACGGAUAGAUCGAUCAUAUAGUUGAAAUAUAUAACGUCUAGAAAUGUAAAUUUUAGUAUGAAUGUUGUGAAUUAUUUUAUAGAACGUUUAACAUUUUAGCUUUUGGAACCUUCUCGAAAGUAAUGUCGUUAAUAAGGAAAGAAAUUUUAAAGCUCUU